CUCGUCCUACAUGAAGGAAUAGG
rnacentral:piRNA from 1 species